AUGAAGGCCACCCGUGAUGCCCAGAACAAGAACGACCACCUACAGUUCCCAGUGGUCGCCUUAGCCACCCUCGGCCACGAGCUCGUCCACCAUGGUUACUUGCAGCUGUCCAAGUGGAGCGCGGACAUCAGUCCAAGUAGAAUCGCGGCUACCAUCUUCACCAAGCACUGCACAACCGUCCAAGUCGAGCACACACAACAGUCCAAGGAAAAACUUUUGUCAGGUUUUUGGUGGCCAGGUAUUAUUGAUAUAGAGAUGAAUGACUAUGCGCUUCGGUUGUUCUUCUGGAAAAGACAAGUUGCCAUGCUUUACUUUAUGAGCUUUCUAAUUUGCAUACUUCUAAGUUAUUGCUUACUGCCACUAGUGAAUUGCGCAAGUUCAAUGGGUGUCAUCGAGCAUGUUCAGAAGUAUGCCCUUCGUGCGGAAGUGUGA
rnacentral:rRNA from 1 species